rnacentral:lncRNA from 1 species
UACAAUUAGUAGAAGAAAAUAUCUCAUAUAGAAAUAUUACAUUGUAAUCUGAUUUUAUCUCUUGUAGAGUUUAGUAAACACAUAAACCCCACAAAGAUGACAACACAACAUAAAAAGUAAGUGUGGCUUUAAGCAAAAACACAUCUGUAUUACUACCCUACAACAUGGUAUUCAUAACUUACGCUUCCAUUUUUUUUUUCCAGGAUGAUAGAUUAGAGGUUUUACCAUUACUCAGCCACUUGGAAAUAGACAGAUAAUGCAUAAAGGUCAACUCAGUGAGUGUUAAUUCAAGAAGGAAAACAGAAAUCUACUGAAGUCAUGAAAAGCACCCAGGAACUCAGAGAGAAUGCUGGCAAACAGCCAUCAUGAUGGCAUCUGCCUGACAAAAGUACUCUUUGAGUCUGACCACUGCCAGGCAUUAGUUACACCAAUUGUCUCAACCUUUUUCAACGGAAUAAUCUUUUCACUACAAGGAAUUCACAAUAUGCCUUUCAGGUAUGGAAAGAAAAUUCAUACUCAACCUGUAAAAACCUACCAGAUGGUACCAUAAUUUGUAUAUACAUAUAUGCAUACAGGAUAUAUUCCUGGAGAAUGAAUCAGAUUCAUGUUACACCUAUUUAGAUGUUUCAUUAUAUUUAAUUUUAAUUCAUUUAUUCAUGGUUUUAACCUCUGUAAGGACAUGCAUUAUUUAAAUUAAUAGACAGGUAAACUGCAUCAAUAAAACUGUAGCAUUUAAUGUUGAAGAUAACUGACAUGCAUGAAGUCAUUGUAUUAAAAUAUUG